UCCUCGUUAGUACAGUGGUCAGUAUGCCCGCCUAUCAUGCGGGAGACCGGGGUUCGAUUCCCCGACGAGGAA